rnacentral:rRNA from 1 species
GAUGAACGCUAGCGGCAGGCUUAACACAUGCAAGUCGAGGGGCAGCGCGGGUGUAGCAAUACAUCUGGCGGCGACCGGCGCAAGGGUGCGUAACGCGUGAGCGACAUGCCCGUGACCGGGGGAUAACCGAUGGAAACGUCGCCUAAUCCCCCAUAACAUGAUUGGUCGCAUGGCCAAUGAUUGAAAACUCCGGUGGUCACGGAUUGGCUCGCGUCCCAUUAGCUAGUCGGCGGGGUAACGGCCCACCGAGGCGACGAUGGGUAGGGGUUCUGAGAGGAAGGUCCCCCACAAUGGAACUGAGACACGGUCCAUACUCC